AUGAGUUUCUCUUUUCCUUUUAUUCUAUUAUUCCUUUUGUUCUUUCACAAGAUAGCUAGUUUCAUCAAGCAUGCUCUGCUUUCGUCAAUAACUUCAUUGAAGCUAAUGGCAAAGCUGAUGCAAUACCAUUCCUUGUUGAGACCUUCUAAGAUUUCAAAGCAACUUACAAAUUUUAUACAGCUCAGAGAAUUACGGAAACUAGCAACAUCAUGGAAAGGGCACCAGACGAGUUUGAUGACAUCUUUUCAUUUUGGAUGA
rnacentral:lncRNA from 1 species